UUAAGUUCAGCGGGUAUUCCUACCUGAUCCGAGGUCAACCUUCCAUCAUUUAGGGGGUGUUUUACGGCCGGCAGCCCGCAAGACAGUCCUCGGCGAGAAAGACACCUACUGCGCCCGGAGUGCUAGCGGACACCGCCACUAUCUUUCAGGGCCUGCGGUCACCCGCAGAUGCCCCAACGCCAGGCCGGCUAGGGCCUGAG
rnacentral:misc_RNA from 1 species